UACGGAGGGUGCAAGCGUUAUCCGGAUUCACUGGGUUUAAAGGGUGCGUAGGUGGGCAAGUAAGUCAGUGGUGAAAUCUCCGGGCUUAACCCGGAAACUGCCAUUGAUACUAUUUGUCUUGAAUACUGUGGAGGUCAGCGGAAUAUGUCAUGUAGCGGUGAAAUGCUUAGAUUUGACAUAGAACACCAAUUGCGAAGGCAGCUGGCUACACAAAUAUUGACACUGAGGCACGAAAGCGUGGGGAUCAAACAGG
rnacentral:rRNA from 1 species